CGAAUGAGCUGACAACAAAAUCACACAAAAAUUAAAAAAUGGAAAUCAAAUUUUUCAACCCAUGGAGGUCUGGAUUUGGAGUCACACUCAAAACUGUGGAAAAACAUACUACAUGCUGAUCCAACUUUGAUGCAAUGUCCUUAAAACAAGUCAAAAUGAGGCUCAGUAGUGUUUGUGUGGCCUCCACGUGCAUGUAUGACCUCCCUACAACGCCGGUGCAUGCUCCUGAUAAGGUGGCGGAUGGUCUCCUGAGGAUCUCCUCCCAGACCUGGACUAAAGCAUCUGCCAACUCCUGGACAGAGUGUGGUGCAACAUGACGGUGCAUGGAGCAAGACAUGAUGUCCCAGAUGUGCUCAAUUGGAUUCAGGUCUAGGGAAUGGGCGGGCCAGUCCAUAGCAUCAAUGCCUUCGUCUUGCAGGAACUGCUGACACACACCAGCCACAUGAGGUCUAGCAUUUUCUUGCAUUAGGAGGAACCCAGGGCCAACCGCACCAGCAAAUGGUCUCACAAGGGGUCUGAGGAUCUCAUCUCGGUACCUAAUGGCAGUCAGGCUACCUCUGGCGAGCACAUGGCCCCCCCAAAGAAAUGCCACCCCACACCACUACUGACCCACUGCCAAACCGGUCAUGCUGGAGGAUGUUGCAGGCAGAACAUUCUUCACGGCGUCUCCAGACUUGGUCACGUGCUCAGUGUGAAACUGCUUUCGUCUGUGAAGAGCACAGAGCGCCAG